AGUGAACGCUGGCGGUAUGCCUAACACAUGCAAGUCGAACGGCAGCACAGUAAGAUCUUGCUCUUACGGGUGGCGAGUGGCGGACGGGUGAGGAAUACAUCGGAAUCUACUUUUUCGUGGGGGAUAACGUAGGGAAACUUACGCUAAUACCGCAUACGACCUACGGGUGAAUGCAGGGGAUCUUCGGACCUUGCGCGACUGAAUUAGCCGAUGUCGGAUUAGCUAGUUGGCGUGGUAAAGGCCCACCAAGGCGACGAUCCGUAGCUGGUCUGAGAGGAUGAUCAGCCACACUGGAACUGAGACACGGUCCAGACUCCUACGGGAGGCAGCAGUGGGGAAUAUUGGACAAUGGGCGCAAGCCUGAUCCAGCAAUGCCGCGUGGGUGAAGAAGGCCUUCGGGUUGUAAAGCCCUUUUGUUGGGAAAGAAAAGCAGCAGGUUAAUCCCCCGCUGUUCUGACGGUACCCAAAGAAUAAGCACCGGCUAACUUCGUG
rnacentral:rRNA from 1 species